ensembl:lncRNA
CUUUUAAAGAUUCAAAGUAAUUUUGAUGAACGUAUUUAAAGUUAAAGAAAGUUUACUCACAAUUAAAAAAAAUGAUUUCAUUAAUAAAUUUCUAUGAAAUUUGAAGUUACAGGUGUUUCUCUGGGCAGAAAGACAGAAGAAUGCAGUGGUCCUACGCUGAAGUCAAUUACAAAUUAUUUAGGGAAAUUAAACACAUGAAAAUAGUUGUCCUUCUCAUUUGUAUUCUUUUGCUAUAUUCAAUUCUCCACACUGCAGUCCUUUUAAAAUGCAAAUAAGAUUAAUAAGUGGCUCAUGGUGACUCUUGCAAAUAUAAAAUUUCAAGUAAAAGCUGCAGUCCAUAAUGAAACCUUUGCAGAUAUUUUUAAAAGGCAAAUCAGAUCAUGUCCUCCUUUUGCAUACAAUACCAAAACCUCUACCUGGGCUCCAGACAGUCAAAUCUGACUACAAACUGGUGACUUGUCUGCCAAUACUUUUUCUGCACGGUCUCAGCUCCAAGCACUCUUGGCUACCUGCCUACCCUUGACCACGCUGAGUUCAUGCUUCUCCCAUUCAGGCCUGCAUUCCCUAAUCCCUCUGCCUGGAAUGCUCUGACCACAUAUGUCUUGGACUUACUCCCUCACUUCCUUUAGACCUCCACUUCCUUAUAUAGGCAAUCCCUGAUCUUAAAUAAAAUGGCACCACCCCUCACAUUCUACCCCUUUAAAUAGUAUUAUUUUUUCUUUAUUUUAAAAAUAUUUAUUUAUUUAUCUGUGAUGGAUCGCAGUUGCAUCACAUGGGAUCUUCCUUGCAACAGGCCAGUUCUUCAGUUCUGGCAAUGUGAACUCUUAGUUGCAGCAUGUGGGAGCUAGCUCCCUGACUAGGGAUCGAAUCUGGGCCCUCUGCAUUGGGAGUGCAGAGUUUUAGCCACUGGACCGCCAGGAAGUCCCCAGGUUUGGUUCAGUUGGUUUGUUUUUCAGCUGUUAGGUAAGUAUCUACUGAUUUUUCACCCUUAUUGAUUACAGGCUUCCUGAGAGCAAGGACUGUGUCUUGGAUUCAUUACUCUGUCUCUCGCACCUUCAACUGUCCUUGGAAGCCACACUACCAGCCCAUACCCUGAAUCCACGUGAAUUAGAAAGAAAGGACACUCCUGCCUCAAAUUACUAGAACGUCACCACCUGUGACCAGAGUGUUCCUUGUAAAACUGCUUGGUAAUUGUGAAGUAAGUGACAUCCUCGGGUGGCAGGCAACCUGGGAGCAUGAUUUGCUCCAUUAUAUAAACAUCACCCCUGAGCUGACAAGGUUGUUACUAGUUUCCUUUGCUCUACACGCAACAAGCCAAAUGCUGAGAAACCAAGGUUUACAACCGAGAAAGAGUUUAUGCACAAGGCCGUUAAACAAGGAAACGGAAAACAAGACUUAGCUCUGCUUCCCUGAAGCCAAGAGGGUUGCAAUGUUUAUGGAAUGAGCAGGGAUGAGGAGGGUGGUCCUCAGUUCAGUUCAGUCGCUCAGUCGUGCCCGACUCUUCACGAACCCAUGAAUCGCAGCAUGCCAGGCCUCCCUGUCCAUCACCAACUCCCGGAGUCUACUCAAACUCACGUCAACUGAGUUCGUGAUGCCAUCCAGCCAUCUCAUCCUCUGAUGUCUCCUUCUCCUCCUGCCCCCAGUCCCUCCCAGCAUCAGGGUAUUUUCCAAUGAGUCAACUCUUCGCAUGAGGUGGCCAAAGUAUUGGGGAAAGGUGAUUCGUGCAGAAAGAGGUGAGGUCAUCUGCGCAGGCGCAUUGGGUUGCUCACCUCUGCAUAUUUUAAAUGGAGGUGCCCAGAAGGAUCUGAGGGUGGAGUUUUCUAGUCCUCUGCCUUCCAAAGGCCAUUCAUGAGACACCACUCAGGUCAGUUUUAGGAUCAGCGGUCCCAACUGGUCUUAUCCAGCUCGCAGUGGAGAAGAGCUGACUCCGAGUUCCUAUAGAACAGCUGGGCUAUGGGAAGCUGAGCAGGAGGUGGGUCCUAGAGGAUCUUGCUGUGAUUCAUUUCAAAGAAUGUUGUGCCAUGUUCAAACCAAGACUUAACUAUAAUUUUUGCUGUCCCAGAGAUGGAAUUGUCAGUCAAUCAGGAAGCACCUGAUCUGCAUUUCUUAGGUGCAGUGUGCUCAGUCACGUCUGACUCCACGACCCCAUGGACUGUAACCCGCCAGGCUCCUCUGUCCAUGGGAUUUCCCAAGCAAGAAUACUGGAGUGGAUUGUCAUUUCCUCCUCUAGGGGAUCUUCCUAACCCAGGGAUGGAAACUGCAUCUCCUGUCUCCUGCAUUGGCAGGCAAUUCUUUGUCCCUGAGCCACUUGGGGGCGCCUCCUUAUAGACUGCCAGGCAAGUAGAAGAGCCUCGGUGAAGAGUCACUGAAGAAAUAAAUACCAUUGAAAUAAAAUGAUUUUAGUUGAGAAAUAGAGGAAGCAAAGCAUCAGAAACUCUAAGCAGCUUUUUCAGAGUUGCAUUAGAAUCGCUAAAUGGUUUGAAAUGUACCAAAGGCUCCGGCCAAGCCCAGAGCCUGGGAAUUCAUGUCAUGCCCAGGUGUGGUACCUGUCAACUCUGUGUGACAGCUCAGCAUUAUGACUUUUGUUUUCUAAAUUAGUCUGCUCCUAUUUGCUUUCAAGGAAAGGUCUUUAUGUCUGAUCCUUGAACAGUCUUCCAGAAUAAUAAUGGCAAUGUCUGUUUCAUCUCUGAUUAACUACUGGCCGAUUCUCCACAGCUCUUUCCUGAAGGAUGCUACAGCUCUGCAAAAGGCAUUCUAUGGACUUCGAGGGCCCAAGUAAAAGUGAAAGUUGUUCAGUUGUGUCUGACUCUUUGUGACCCCAUGGACUAUACAGUUCAUGGAAUUCUCCAAGCCAGAAUACUGAAGUGGGUAGCCGUUCCCUUCUCCAGGGUAUCUUCCCAAUCCAGGGACUGAACCCAGGUCUCCCACAUUGUAUGCAGAUCCUUUACCAGCUGAGCUACCAGGGAGGCCCAAUACCGGAGUGGGUAGCCUAUCCCUUCUCCAGCAGAUCUUCCCCACCCAGGAGUGGAACCAGGGUCUCCUGCAUUGCAGGCAGAUGCUUUACCAGCUGAGCUACAUGGAAAGCCCAUCUCAGGGCCCAAAUUUCCCCUAAAAAAGCUUGCAGGAAAUUGAUACCAGGGAUAGUAGCUGUUAUAUUUCACAUUCUUACAACCUCCAGGAAUCUGGCUGCCUGAAUUUUAUCAUGUAGCCUGUUAGGGAGUACGAUUCAAACAGGCUUUGAUUUAGCAUCGCCUUUGAAGCUUCCCCAGGCAACCUGGCUUAGUCAUGAAGGUCUAAACCGCGCAUAUUCCAUUUUCUGGUAAAUAUGUCAGUGCCACAUACGUAAAAUUUUAAGUAUAAUGCACGUACCCCUAACCUAUAGAUGCUGGCUAAAAAUGAAGCUUUUGAUUUAGCGUUCUCUGUACUGAGUCCAUACUACCCUUAGUAGCCAGACUAAUAGUAAAUGUCCUAUAAAUCUCUAAAAAUAGACCACUGCCAAUUUUGAUAGUCUGCAAAUAGUUGGAAAAACAGUAUGAGUCACUUUUUCAAGGAUGUUCUCUUUUUUUGUUAGCUUAAUAUUCCAUGAUAAGGUUACAUGACAAAAGUAAAUUGCAUAGGCUCAGUUCUGAAUAGGAUUGCAAAUCUAAUAAGUGGCUGCUUAUUUCACGUUGUUCUGUCUGUAGCUUCUCUCCAACUUGCACUUCACGAGUUGUGUUUAGUUGAGGUCCAGGAUUCAGAAACUCAAGCAGGAAGCAUCUGGGAAUUCUCUGCUUUGAAGUGUGCAUGGGUUAGAAAUAACCUGGAGAAGUGAGAACACCACUUGCUUUCCAGGUGGGCUACAUUUCUGAUCCUACUCAAGUUUGAUGGAUUUCAUUACAUCUUCUAGAUAUUUCCAUAACUAAAUGGUUUUAAUGUGAGGCAUUCUGAAGUUAGUAGGUGGAGAAAUUCCAAGGUUUUUUUUUUUUUUAACUUUUUAAUUUAUACUGCUUUUUAAAUUAUGGUUGUUGUUGGAAUCAGGCAUCAAUAUUUCCGUUUUCACCACCCAGGAGGGUCAAUGUGACUAUUUUCUGCCUCCUUUUUGCUGCCCCCUUUCCAGUUCUUCCUGCUAAGGCACUGAGAACAUUGUAUCCUCAGGGUGGGCUCCAGUGGUUGUCAAUAACAAAACUGCAAGCUCUUCAAAGUUAGGCUCUUUAUCUUUGCACCUUUCAUUCCUGGAGGUUGUAGGAAUGUGAAACAUAAAAGCUAAGCAUAAAAUUAAUUUUUAAUUUUUAUUAAUAAACAAAAUUAAUAUCACUGGUGUUAAUUUUCUGAUGGUCAAAAAAGUGUUGUAUUUACCUUCAUCAUAGUUCUCUUCUACUUUGGUUGCUUUUGAAAUUAUAAAUAUGACCUUGAAUAAUUUAAGUACUCUUUUGGAACCCCAGUUUUCUCAUUUGUAAAAUGAAAUAAAAAUAUGGACAUCAGAAGUUAAGGAUUAAACAGUGUAAUACAAUAUUAGGUCAACCUUAGUCAUGUGAGUGUCAAAUGUGAAAAUUCUCCCAGCCCAGUCAUUUAUUAAAUGCUUCUUUUUUGAUCCUUAUUUUUCAAAUUUCUUUAUUUUUAAUUGGAGGAUAAUUGCUUUACAAUAUUGUGUUGGUUUCUGUCCAUAUAUCAUUAUGAAUCAGUCAUAAGUAUACAUAUGUCCCCUCCCUGUUGAACCUCCCUCCCACCUCCCACCCCAUUCCACCCCUCUAGGUUGUCACAGAGCACCAGUUUGAGCUCCCUGUGUUGUACAGCAUAUCAGAUGUUUUUAAAUUAAUUGCACUUAAAAAUGAUACAACUAGGGCUUCCCUGGUGGCUCAGUGGUGAAGACUUGCCUCCUAAUAUAGGUGACAUGGGUUUGAUCCCUGGUCUGGGAAGAUUCCACAUGCUUCAGAGCAACUAAGCUUGUACCCCACAACUCUUGCGCCUGAGUUCUAGAGCUCGGGCUGCAAUUACUGAGCCCAUAUGCCAGAACUGCUGAAGCUCACAUGCCCUGUGC